UACGGGGGGGGCAAGCGUUGUUCGGAAUUACUGGGCGUAAAGGGCGCGUAGGCGGCCUGCUAAGUCACACGUGAAAUCCCUCGGCUCAACCGGGGAACUGCGUGUGAUACUGAAAGGCUUGAAUCCGGGAGAGGGAUGCGGAAUUCCAGGUGUAGCGGUGAAAUGCGUAGAUAUCUGGAGGAACACCGGUGGCGAAGGCGGCAUCCUGGACCGGUAUUGACGCUGAGGCGCGAAAGCCAGGGGAGCAAACGGG
rnacentral:rRNA from 1 species